GCGAGUGUGGCGGAACUGGCAGACGCGCUAGCCUUAGGAGCUAGUAGGUAACACCUGUGGGGGUUCGAUUCCCUCCACUCGCACCA
rnacentral:tRNA from 1 species